AUUUAAAGAAUUAUAUUACCGUAUCCUCACAGCUAUGAAAUAGCGUUGUUAAUUGUUCAAAACACAGUCAGGAUAGUUGAAAAAUGUGUGUUAAAGUUGUCCCAUUUUACCGACACAGGGCUGUAUGUAUAGUUUUUGUAUUUUAUGUUUCGUACAGUCUAAAAGCGAAUAACUAUCAGUGUAUUCUUGUGAUUUGAUUGUUUACUACGUGUUCACACAAGUCGCAGAAAUUCCGGCAAAAUAAUUAUUGCUGUAAUUUUCACAAUCCGCUGUUACUAUAAAUAGAUUCAGUGUUACCUGAUGUUAAGUUACUCCUUAUUAAAUCCUACCAUGAAACUUUCCAACUCGUUUAAUAUAAAGGCAGCACUGGGAGCUGAAAUUCGCGCGAGAUUCAAUUAGGCAUUGUUCCGUCAUUUCUCAACGUUGAUCCUAGCAAUUAACCAAUCAGCUCCCAGCUUUCCACGUGAUCAACACGUUUUCGUUUUUGCCAAUGUAAGUUUGGGGCGAGACUUCAUCUUUUUGGUUGCCACCAUUUUGGAAUAAGCAUUAGCGUUAAGCAGUUGAAGUCAUAUUGUAGUUAAGUGAAGGCAGCCAGGUUAUGACAAAGACUUGUUUUAGCUUUAAGUAUGCAAUAUAUGAGCAAUAUAGUUGAUUUAUUUCGUUUUAUUAAUAUUUAACGUUUGAUUUACAGCUGACUAUGAAAAUAAUUCAUUAAAAUUUAAACUAUUUAAAUCUCACACUGAAGCAAUAUUGACCGAAGUCUUGUGUUCAAAUCACAUCAAUGUUAUCUCGCUCACGAAUGAAGAUGCGUCGAGUGACAACCGCCGAUGCAGCUUUGGAUUGGCAACGUUGAAAAAAAGAGACAAAGACGGAACGAAAAGCUCAAGAACGAAGAUGGAGCCAUAGCAUACCCAGACUAAGAUUUAUUCUUAGUCGAUGUAAAUACUAACUUAUGUGAGCUGUAGCA